ensembl:lncRNA
CAGAGUCUUACCACUUCUACUGUUGCCUCAGGAAGAUGGUGGUCCUUCACCCCGUAGUACAUUUUUAAUUCACUGAAUUGAUGUUACAACUCGCCCUGUUUUACAGAAACCUUAUUAUGAACAGAGUUUUUAUGGUUUCAUGUGCUUCACAGUAACUUAUUCAGUAUUGCACCCACACAUGCAGAUGCGAGUCGAGUGCUGCUUGGACGGAGCGGAUGUGAAAGAACAAGAACAGAUGCUUUCUUGUUUCAUUCUGCCAAUGAAAGAUGGAGAUGAGAAGGAACAGAAGACCUAAUGCUCUUUGUGUGCAGACUUAGGGACUGGGUGGUGGAGAGAUGUUGGAAUACAAGCCUUAGGGGUUGUGUGUGAGUGUGUGUGUGAUGGCUCCCAGUGGGUGAGGAGAGCUCGAGUGCCAAAGGAGAGGAAGGGUCUGACGUAAGCCUGCCAAAAACAGCUGCGAGGGAGAGACGGAGGAGGGCGUUACAUAGUGUGCAUGUGAGGGGUUCAAGAGACAGUCAGAGGGAGGACACCCCGUGAGACAGAAGAGGGAGACUUUGGAAGUGGGAGAGAAUGUGUGGAAAAGAAGGUGUGAGAGAUAUGAUUCUGUGUUGGAACUGGACGCUAAGGCAUUGAGGAACAAGGAGACGUCCUUGAGGACAAGGGAAACAUAAAACAAGAAGCAACCUGGACUGAAGACUAAGGAAAAGAAGGGCUAAUAAAGUGUAAGAGGAGAAGGAAAGGAUUUUCAAGGAGGAAUUAAGCAAGUAGAAUGGGUUGUGUUUUCAGCAAGCAGCGUUGGGUUAAAGAGAGGAAUUCCCAGCCCUCGGACCCCCCAAAAACACGAGACCUCACCGAGGAUGCAGAGAUUCUCAGCUUAACAGAGUUGGGGAAGAUGGGUUCACACUCCUUUAAAGAGAGGAACUUCAAGAAGAAACACCACUGUGUUGUCUGCAGACAAGCUCUCGACAGCCAUGGCAUGUACUGCAGAGAAUGUAAAACUGCAGUUCAUAAGAAAUGCGAGGAAAAGGUAAGAUUCUUUCUUUAACAGCUAAAAUGCUGAACUAUGCCUCUUAUGAAGUAUAGUGGAUAUGGCUAAACUUUGGCUAAACAGUGGUUACUUGAUUUGGCUUUAACCAAUAAGGAAAUGGCAGAAGAAUAUGCAUUGUCGUUGUUAGUGACUGUAUGGGUCCUUGUAGCGGCGUGUUUAUCUAAGUGGCUUCUGGUCUUGUGAUGUAUGUCACUCACAAAUAUAGUACAAAUAGGUCUAAUUCAGAUGAGUUAUGAACUCUGGUUGUCUUUGGUAUUAAUAGAAAUUGCAAUCAGUCACUGAAUACCAACAGUGCAUCACACAGAUAUACAGCAGUGUAACCGCACGCUACACACCACAGCUGUUCCUCUCUUUCUCUCUCUUAUUAUUUCUCCUCCUCACUUGCUUUCUCUUUUACUUUUUCGUAUCACAGUAAAAAACAAAAUAUAUAUUAUUAUAAAAAAAAUUUAAAAAUAAAAUUAAGGCAACAGUUUCAUUUUAUGUUUUGUGUUUAGUUAAUUUACUAAUUUUAAGUAAAUGCCUUUCCUGAACCUAAAAUGUCAAGUGUCAAAACCAUGCAACCAUAAUUAUUCAUACCCCAGUGCAUUCUCAAAGAAAGAUGAA